UAGGGAAGCUUCGGCAAUGGAAGGAAGUCCGACUGAGCAACGCCGCGUGAGUGAAGAAGGUUUUCGGAUCGUAAAGCUCUGUUGUAAGAGAAGAACGAGUGUGAGAGUGGAAAGUUCACACUGUGACGGUAUCUUACCAGAAAGGGACGGCUAACUACGUGCCAGCAGCCGCGGUAAUACGUAGGUCCCGAGCGUUGUCCGGAUUUAUUGGGCGUAAAGCGAGCGCAGGCGGUUAGAUAAGUCUGAAGUUAAAGGCUGUGGCUUAACCAUAGUAGGCUUUGGAAACUGUUUAACUUGAGUGCAAGAGGGGAGAGUGGAAUUCCAUGUGUAGCGGUGAAAUGCGUAGAUAUAUGGAGGAACACCGGUGGCGAAAGCGGCUCUCUGGCUUGUAACUGACGCUGAGGCUCGAAAGCGUGGGGAGCAAACAGGAUUAGAUACCCUGGUAGUCCACGCUGUAAACGAUGAGUGCUAGGUGUUAGACCCUUUCCGGGGUUUAGUGCCGUAGCUAACGCAUUAAGCACUCCGCCUGGGGAGUACGACCGCAAGGUUG
rnacentral:rRNA from 1 species